rnacentral:rRNA from 1 species
GACGAACGCUGGCGGCGUGCUUAACACAUGCAAGUCGAACGGUAAGGCCCUUCGGGGUACACGAGUGGCGAACGGGUGAGUAACACGUGGGUGAUCUGCCCUGCACUUCGGGAUAAGCCUGGGAAACUGGGACUAAUACCGGAUAGGACCACUGCCUGCAUGGGUGGUGGUGGAAAGUUUUUGCGGUGGGGGAUGGGCCCGCGGCCUAUCAGCUUGUUGGUGGGGUGAUGGCCUACCAAGGGGACGACGGGUAGCCGGCCUGAGAGGGUGACCGGACACACUGGGACUGAGAUACGGCCCAGACUCCUACGGGAGGCAGCAGUGGGGAAUAUUGCACAAUGGGCGCAAGCCUGAUGCAGCGACGCCGCGUGAGGGAUGACGGCCUUCGGGUCGUAAACCUCUUUCAGCACCGACGAAGCGCAAGUGACGGUAGGUGCAGAAGAAGGACCGGCCAACUACGUGCCAGCCGCCGCCGUAAGAC